rnacentral:lncRNA from 1 species
GAUGUGUGGCAACUUUUCGAACAAAAACUUCUACUCCAUUAUAGUAGUGAGAACCAACUACCAAAUAAUAGUCGAGAUAUUAAGUUUAAGAAAGUGAUUUCCUAACUUCAAAUAUGAAAAUACAUAUGUAUUUGUGGUGAAAUUUAUGAUUGUACAAAUGCAAACCGAAUUCGAUUCAUAAUUUUUAAUAACUAUCGCAAAAAGAAAAUUGGACAUGACUAUAUAUAUUUAGAUCAC